rnacentral:rRNA from 1 species
UGGGGAAUUUUGGACAAUGGGCGAAAGCCUGAUCCAGCAAUGCCGCGUGUGUGAAGAAGGCCUUCGGGUUGUAAAGCACUUUUGUCCGGAAAGAAAUCCUUGGCUCUAAUACAGUCGGGGGAUGACGGUACCGGAAGAAUAAGCACCGGCUAACUACGUGCCAGCAGCCGCGGUAAUACGUAGGGUGCAAGCGUUAAUCGGAAUUACUGGGCGUAAAGCGUGCGCAGGCGGUUUGCUAAGACCGAUGUGAAAUCCCCGGGCUCAACCUGGGAACUGCAUUGGUGACUGGCAGGCUAGAGUAUGGCAGAGGGGGGUAGAAUUCCACGUGUAGCAGUGAAAUGCGUAGAGAUGUGGAGGAAUACCGAUGGCGAAGGCAGCCCCCUGGGCCAAUACUGACGCUCAUGCACGAAAGCGUGGGGAGCAAACAGGAUUAGAUACCCUGGUAGUCCACGCCCUAAACGAUGUCAACUAGUUGUUGGGGAUUCAUUUCCUUAGUAACGUAGCUAACGCGUGAAGUUGACCGCCUGGGGAGUACGGUCGCAAGAUUAAAACUUAAAUGAAUUGA